CAGAAAUUUGGGAUGAAUCUCAGAAAUUUGGGAAUUACCCCAGAAAUUUGGGAUGAAUCUCAGAAAUUUGGGAAUUACCCCAGAAAUUUGGGAUGAAUCUCAGAAAUUUGGGAAUUACCCCAGAAAUUUGGGAUGAAUCUCAGAAAUUUGGGACUCACCCCAGAUGUUUCCCAGCCUCUGGAAUUGAGCGAGGCCUGAGGGAGGCCCUGGCUGUGCUUUACCCCAACUUCCUCUCUUUUAUUUUAAGCAUCAUUCCUCUUGCUGCCUCAUUUCUUUUAUUUCAAUGCUUUAUUUGGUUAUUUUGUCCGAAAGUUUCAAAACCUUUCUUUGUGUCUGUUUUGGACACAGCAGAUCCAAUCAGCAUUUGCUGAUUCCAUUGCAAAUUGACACAAAACCCACACGAAACUGACACAAAACCCACACGAAAUUGACACAAAAAUGCACAAGAUUGACACAAAAUCACAAAACCAGCAGGUUUGGGGCCGUCCCUGAGGAUUUUGGUGCCAAUUCCAGCCAUUUCCAGAGGAUUUUAUUGAUUUUUUGGUUGCGUUUCAGAGCAGGGGCACCAACACCUCCCCUCUGCAGCCCUGAUUAAUUCCUUAAUUAACCUGAUCAUCCUGAUUGAUUCCUUAUCUUUGUGCUUCCAAAGGGGAAAAUCUUGUGCUGCAGAGGUGACAAAGCUGCAUUUUUGUGUCUGCCAGCAGCAUUUUUGUGCGUUCUUGUGCGUUUUUAUGCAUUAUUUUUGUGCCUGGCAGCAGCUCCAUCCCAGCACCCUCCUGGCUGAGGCCUCACAAAUGAGGAUUUUAAUUAUUCACAGCCCAACCAGAGCGCUAAUGACGGGGAAAUUAAUCACACGGGAGAGCGGGAUGAGCAAGGAAAAGCUCCUGGAGAUUCCCCCCGAGCACAAAAGGGGAAUCCAAGGAGAACCUGGAGCUGCUUCCAGAGGUGCCAGGGGUUCCAAAGGAGCUGGAGAGGAUUUGGGAUGGGAUUCCUGGGAAUGGAUCUGGGAAUCCCAGGGCACAGGGAAUGGAUUUGGGAUGGAAUUCCAGGGAAUGGAUCUGGGAUGGAAUUCCAGGGCACAGGGAAUGGAUUUGGGAUGGAAUUCCAGGGAAUGGAUCUGGGAAUUCCAGGACCCACUGAAUGAUUUGGGAUUUGGGACAGAAUUCCAGGGCACAGGGAAUGGAUUUGGGAUGAUGGAUGGAUGGAGGGACCCAGGGAAUGGAUUUGGGAUCAGGGAUGGAAUUCCAGGGCACAGGGGAUGGAUUUGAACUGGGAAGGGGAAUCUGGGUGGGAUUCCCAGAGGAGCUGAGGCUGCCCCUGGAUCCCUGGGAUGUCCAAGGCCUGGGUGGGACUGGAUGAGCCCUGAGCUCCUCCCAGCCCAAUCCCAAUCCCAAGGGUUCAGGGAUUCUUCCCUCUUUCCCAGCACUGACAUUUUUCCCCACAUUCAAGAGUUCAGUCCCAAUUUUCCCAAAGCAGCAGCAAUUCCGGGGCACUCCGGGCCAGGCCCAGCCGCGUCACUGCUCCUCCUGCUCCUCCUUCUCCUUCUCCAUCUUCCUCUUCCUCCUCUCCAUCCUCCUGUGCAGCUUCCUGCGGAGCUGCAGCUGCCUCCUCCUGUGCAGGCUCUGCUGCAGCUUCUGGCGGCCCUCCCUGUUCCUGCUCCGCAGCCGGGACAGCUCCGCCUUCCUGCGGGCCUCCUGCUCCGGGUCCUGAGGGACACACAGCGCCGCUGGGGACACCGGGGACGCGCCGGGGACACCGGGGACACACCCGGGGACUGGGGACACACCCGGGGACUGGGGACACACAGCGCCGCUGGGGACACCGGGGACACAGCAGGGACUGGGGACACCGGGGACACACCGGGGACA
ensembl:lncRNA